UGCAAGCGUUAUCCGGAAUCAUUGGGUUUAAAGGGUCCGUAGGCGGGCAUAUAAGUCAGUGGUGAAAUGCUGUGGCUCAACCAUAGCACUGCCAUUGAUACUGUAUGUCUUGAAUUAUUGUGAAGUGGUUAGAAUAUGUAGUGUAGCGGUGAAAUGCUUAGAUAUUACAUAGAAUACCGAUUGCGAAGGCAGAUCACUAACAAUAUAUUGACGCUGAUGGACGAAAGCGUAGGUAGCGAACGGGAUUAGAUACCCCGG
rnacentral:rRNA from 1 species